rnacentral:rRNA from 1 species
ACCAGCGGAGGGAUCAUUACUGAGUUUACGCUCUAUAACCCUUUGUGAACAUACCUAUAACUGUUGCUUCGGCGGGUAGGGUCUCCGUGACCCUCCCGGCCUCCCGCCCCCGGGCGGGUCGGCGCCCGCCGGAGGAUAACCAAACUCUGAUUUAACGACGUUUCUUCUGAGUGGUACAAGCAAAUAAUCAAAACUUUUAACAACGGAUCUCUUGGUUCUGGCAUCGAUGAAGAACGCAGCGAAAUGCGAUAAGUAAUGUGAAUUGCAGAAUUCAGUGAAUCAUCGAAUCUUUGAACGCACAUUGCGCCCGCCAGCAUUCUGGCGGGCAUGCCUGUUCGAGCGUCAUUUCAACCCUCAAGCUCUGCUUGGUGUUGGGGCCCUACAGCUGAUGUAGGCCCUCAAAGGUAGUGGCGGACCCUCCCGGAGCCUCCUUUGCGUAGUAACUUUACGUCUCGCACUGGGAUCCGGAGGGACUCUUGCCGUAAAACCCCCCAAUUUUCCAAAGGUUGACCUCGGAUCAGGUA